rnacentral:lncRNA from 1 species
GGACGUCCGAGUACGGGACUACUUCCUCCGUUGAUAACGACCGCCUCGCUAGGGUUGCUGACAAACAAAAAAAGCUAGCCCGCGACAGGACAGGAUCGUAUCCUGGUUUCCCAUCUAGAGCAGGGCGAGCGCGGCGCGUUCCUGCGCUCGUCUCUUCCUCGAGGAUGGCUGCGCGAGCUUCAGGCCAAAAUCCUCCUGUGCCGGAUCAGACUGCAGAGGCAGGGGGGACACACAGGCCGCGAACCCUACUGCCGACGGUGGGCAUGGUUCGACAGGAGCACAGGCUCAGGUUCGUAAUGGUGGUUCUGGUGGUGGGACUAGCAGAGGAGGUUCCGGCUAUGGUCCUAGUCGCGGAGGCGGCGGUUACCAGGGAUACAUGAACUUUGGACACAAUUGGAACGACAGUUUUGGAGGUCCAGG